CAGCAAUCUACACACAUACACUCACACACCCCGUCCCUUUCCCUCCUCGCAGAAGCCGAGGAGAUGCCAUGUGAGGGUGCAGCGAGGAGUUGGGCUGUCUAAAAGCAAAGAAAGAGAUUGCAUCAGACACCGCAUCUGCUGACACCUUGUUCUUGGACUUCCAGCUUCCAAAACCGCGAGAAAUAAAUGUCUGUGUCUAAACCCCAACCCUACCACCUCAACUGCCGUGUGUGGUGUUUUGUGAUGGCAGCCCCAGCUGACUGAGACACCUGGUUAGACCGGAAUAAGCAGGCUGCAAUCGGUAGCAGUCACCAUUGAACAUCCUUGAAGCAAUUCUUCCAAAAUUACCUUGCAUCAAAGACUGCACAAGAACUGCUCUAAGCGGAAGGACUGAUGUCGGCAACCAGGGUUCCACCAGGGGCUGCAGACAGCCCUUGACCUUCAGGUGGGAAGGUGUCACUGAGUUCAGACCCUCUGGCAAUCCCUAGCUAUCAACAUUUUGAUAAGAAAAUAAGUGGAAAGAAGUAACCAAAUUUACUCACGUAGGCCAGGAAUUUCUAUGACGUGUUCCAAAUUCAGCCUCUCACUGAACACUUCCAGAGCAAGGCAACAUAAACAUCUGCAAGAAGAACAUUGUGUGAGAAAUAUCAAGUGAGAGUGGAAGAGUCUGCGGAGGGCCUCCCUGGGGCUCACCUGUGCUUUUGCCUGAGCUUCACCGUGUCAAGAAUCCUGUGUUCUUGCUAUUCGAAGUGCAGCCCAGCCUCCUGCAGCCACCACAUCACUUGUGAUGCUUGACAGAAAUGCAGACUCUCUGUUCCCACCUCAAACCUACUGACUUGGGAAUCUGCAGCUUACCAAGAUCUCCAGGUGAUCCACGUACACGUCAAACUUUGAAAAGCAGUGGUUUGCAGAACAAAAAGGAUUCAGCUUCUGAUAUGGUUUGGAUUUGUGUCUGUACCCAAAUCUCAUGUCAAAUUGUAAUCCCCAGUGUUGGAGGAGGAGCCUGGUGAAAGGUAAUUGGAUCACGGGGGCAAACUUCCCCCUUGCUGUUAUCAUGAUAGUGAGUGAGUUCUCAUGAGAGCUGGUUGUUUAAAAGUUUAAAAGCACCUCCCCCUUCGCUCUCUCUUCCACCUUCUCCAGCAAUGUAAAAUGAACCUGCUUCCCCU
rnacentral:lncRNA from 1 species